GACAGAGGCCUCAAGCGUUAGGCGGAAUCACUGGGCUUAAAGCGUGUGUAGGCGGAUGCCCAAGUACCUUGUGAAAUCCCACGGCUCAACCGUGGAACUGCUGGGUAUACUGGGCGUCUUGGGCCAUUCAGGGGCGACUGGAACAAGCGGUGGAGCGGUGAAAUGCGUAGAUAUCGCUUGGAACGCCGAAGGUGAAAACAGGUCGCUGGGGAUGUGCCGACGCUGAGACACGAAAGCCAGGGGAGCAAACGGG
rnacentral:rRNA from 1 species